AUUCUUUCUAAAGCACAUUUGCUUGCUCUGCCGUCUUGCCUGAGUGAAGAACCGCCAUCGUGAACAGAAUUGAAUUCCUGGAGGAGGGCGGCUGGCUCCAGUUCCGCCAGGUCUGGAGAGCAACGCUGAGACCAGCAGGUGGAGACCGUGGGGAGCCUAACAUCCUAAUGUCAGCUCGCCUCGGGGAGCACUUUCCCCCAUGGGAAGCUCACCAAGAACAGAAAUACCAGCUUGCCUUGGGAGCUUCCUGACUGUCAUGACCUGAGCAGUUUUCCUCCAUCCAGGCUGUUCUGCAAGCCGUUUCUGUGUUUAAGCCUGCCAAACAUGGCCUGAAACUCCUCAAAGGUCUGCGGAGGUAGGAACUGGACUAAAGUUCCCAGGCAUCUCCAGUCUGGUGCAGAUUUGGACCUGGUUUGUAUCCAGCUGGUGGCAAAAGCCACCAGAUGCUGCUGGGCUGUUGUAUUGGAGGCUUUCAGCUGUACAUAAUGGAAAUAGCGUGGAGGUAAAGCAGUUCCAGGGUUGGUUAAUUUGCUAUCAAACAUCUUUAAGGGCUCACACUUGUUCCAUCUUCCUGUUCAGCCAACUUAACAGGUUGGCCACUGGCUAUUCCUUAACCGAUUGUGUAAUGGCUGUUGGAAGUCCAAGCUUUCCCAUCUCCCAGGACAGAACAUUCCUUCCUCACAUCUCUUGGCCUCCAGUGGACCUCUUGUGAUUGGCCAGGAUUGUAGCACACACCUGUUCUUAAGUCCAUCACCAUUCCUAAGAAAUCACCAUGUUUGGCUUAGGCAAACUAAGACUUGCCUUACAAGGUUCUUCUUGGAGGCCAUGGUUUCCUCAUGUCUGCCAGCAGUGGGUGCAAGGUGUAGGAACAGAGGGUUAGGGUUGACUAAGCUACCAACAGUUCCCACCUGGACCUAUGUGGACACAACCUUGAAAGGUCUGGCUGAGCCCAGUUUCAAUCUACAAUAAGACGGUCAAAGGAAUAUCCAG
rnacentral:lncRNA from 1 species